GGGUUGUGAGGUUAAGCGACUAAGCGUACACGGUGGAUGCCCUGGCAGUCAGAGGCGAUGAAGGACGUGCUAAUCUGCGAUAAGCGUCGGUAAGGUGAUAUGAACCGUUAUAACCGGCGAUUUCCGAAUGGGGAAACCCAGUGUGUUUCGACACACUAUCAUUAACUGAAUCCAUAGGUUAAUGAGGCGAACCGGGGGAACUGAAACAUCUAAGUACCCCGAGGAAAAGAAAUCAACCGAGAUUCCCCCCAGUAGCGGCGAGCGAACGGGGAGCAGCCCAGAGCCUGAAUCAGUGUGUGUGUUAGUGGAAGCGUCUGGAAAGGCGCGCGAUACAGGGUGACAGCCCCGUACACAAAAAUGCACAUGCUGUGAGCUCGAUGAGUAGGGCGGGACACGUGGUAUCCUGUCUGAAUAUGGGGGGGACCAUCCUCCAAGGCUAAAUACUCCUGACUGACCGAUAGUGAACCAGUACCGUGAGGGAAAGGCGAAAAGAACCCCGGCGAGGGGAGUGAAAAAGAACCUGAAACCGUGUACGUACAAGCAGUGGGAGCACGCUUAGGCGUGUGACUGCGUACCUUUUGUAUAAUGGGUCAGCGACUUAUAUUCUGUAGCAAGGUUAACCGAAUAGGGGAGCCGAAGGGAAACCGAGUCUUAACUGGGCGUUAAGUUGCAGGGUAUAGACCCGAAACCCGGUGAUCUAGCCAUGGGCAGGUUGAAGGUUGGGUAACACUAACUGGAGGACCGAACCGACUAAUGUUGAAAAAUUAGCGGAUGACUUGUGGCUGGGGGUGAAAGGCCAAUCAAACCGGGAGAUAGCUGGUUCUCCCCGAAAGCUAUUUAGGUAGCGCCUCGUGAAUUCAUCUCCGGGGGUAGAGAGCACUGUUUCGGCAAGGGGUCAUCCCGACUUACCAACCCGAUGCAAACUGCGAAUACCGGAGAAUGUUAUCACGGGAGACACACGGCGGGUGCUAACGUCCGUCGUGAAGAGGGAAACAACCCAGACCGCCAGCUAAGGUCCCAAAGUCAUGGUUAAGUGGGAAACGAUGUGGGAAGGCCCAGACAGCCGUGGAUGUUGGCUUAGAAGCAGCCAUCAUUUAAAGAAAGCGUAAUAGCUCACUGGUCGAGUCGGCCUGCGCGGAAGAUGUAACGGGGCUAAACCAUGCACCGAAGCUGCGGCAGCGACGCUUAUGCGUUGUUGGGUAGGGGAGCGUUCUGUAAGCCUGUGAAGGUGUACUGUGAGGUAUGCUGGAGGUAUCAGAAGUGCGAAUGCUGACAUAAGUAACGAUAAAGCGGGUGAAAAGCCCGCUCGCCGGAAGACCAAGGGUUCCUGUCCAACGUUAAUCGGGGCAGGGUGAGUCGACCCCUAAGGCGAGGCCGAAAGGCGUAGUCGAUGGGAAACAGGUUAAUAUUCCUGUACUUGGUGUUACUGCGAAGGGGGACGGAGAAGGCUAUGUUGGCCGGGCGACGGUUGUCCCGGUUUAAGCGUGUAGGCUGGUUUUCCGUGCAAAUCCGGAAAAUCAAGGCUGAGGCGUGAUGACGAGGCACUACGGUGCUGAAGCAACAAAUGCCCUGCUUCCGUGAAAAGCCUCUAAGCAUCAGGUAACAUCAAAUCGUACCCCAAACCGACACAGGUGGUCAGGUAGAGAAUACCAAGGCGCUUGAGAGAACUCGGGUGAAGGAACUAGGCAAAAUGGUGCCGUAACUUCGGGAGAAGGCACGCUGAUAUGUAGGUGAAGUCCCUCGCGGAUGGAGCUGAAAUCAGUCGAAGAUACCAGCUGGCUGCAACUGUUUAUUAAAAACACAGCACUGUGCAAACACGAAAGUGGACGUAUACGGUGUGACGCCUGCCCGGUGCCGGAAGGUUAAUUGAUGGGGUCAGCGCAAGCGAAGCUCUUGAUCGAAGCCCCGGUAAACGGCGGCCGUAACUAUAACGGUCCUAAGGUAGCGAAAUUCCUUGUCGGGUAAGUUCCGACCUGCACGAAUGGCGUAAUGAUGGCCAGGCUGUCUCCACCCGAGACUCAGUGAAAUUGAACUCGCUGUGAAGAUGCAGUGUACCCGCGGCAAGACGGAAAGACCCCGUGAACCUUUACUAUAGCUUGACACUGAACAUUGAGCCUUGAUGUGUAGGAUAGGUGGGAGGCUUUGAAGUGUGGACGCCAGUCUGCAUGGAGCCGACCUUGAAAUACCACCCUUUAAUGUUUGAUGUUCUAACGUUGACCCGUGAUCCGGGUUGCGGACAGUGUCUGGUGGGUAGUUUGACUGGGGCGGUCUCCUCCUAAAGAGUAACGGAGGAGCACGAAGGUUGGCUAAUCCUGGUCGGACAUCAGGAGGUUAGUGCAAUGGCAUAAGCCAGCUUGACUGCGAGCGUGACGGCGCGAGCAGGUGCGAAAGCAGGUCAUAGUGAUCCGGUGGUUCUGAAUGGAAGGGCCAUCGCUCAACGGAUAAAAGGUACUCCGGGGAUAACAGGCUGAUACCGCCCAAGAGUUCAUAUCGACGGCGGUGUUUGGCACCUCGAUGUCGGCUCAUCACAUCCUGGGGCUGAAGUAGGUCCCAAGGGUAUGGCUGUUCGCCAUUUAAAGUGGUACGCGAGCUGGGUUUAGAACGUCGUGAGACAGUUCGGUCCCUAUCUGCCGUGGGCGCUGGAGAACUGAGGGGGGCUGCUCCUAGUACGAGAGGACCGGAGUGGACGCAUCACUGGUGUUCGGGUUGUCAUGCCAAUGGCACUGCCCGGUAGCUAAAUGCGGAAGAGAUAAGUGCUGAAAGCAUCUAAGCACGAAACUUGCCCCGAGAUGAGUUCUCCCUGACCCUUUAAGGGUCCUGAAGGAACGUUGAAGACGACGACGUUGAUAGGCCGGGUGUGUAAGCGCAGCGAUGCGUUGAGCUAACCGGUACUAAUGAACCGUGAGGCUUAACCUUACAACGCCGAAGGUGUUU
rnacentral:rRNA from 1 species